CUAAAACGGUUAAUUUCGUUCCUCCACCGAAGUAAGCUUCAGCAUUAUUGUAUCACCGUGGCCCCCUGUCCCCACGGUGAAAAAGCAUCAUACAAAAACCUGGUGCCUUCUUCGCUGUGCGUCGGCUCCUUCCCCCACCCAGAGCCGCCAUAUCUCAGCCUCCAUCUCUGCGGCAGCAGCUGUGCAGCUCCAAACCGACGGCUGCUAUUUCUGUGAGAGCUAAGAAAAGAAGCAAGAAGGA